AAAGGUGAACCUCAGACGUCAUACCAGCCACCGCCACCCAUUGCAACCCACCGCAUUUUGCGGUGCAAGUUGAGCUACUUUUAGCUGGUUCCUAAUAAAGGCCAGGUGGGAAUUGGAGACCGGGGAAAGUUGGAAAGCAGAUUGCAAGCGAUAUCAGUGCACACACCCGUAUUCCUUAGCCGUAACGAUUUCCUGUUCGAACUGUGAUGGAUGAUGGCCAAAUCUGAAUGGAGGAUGAGGAAUCCUGCUGCAUGCAAAGUUCUUAAGUACACGCAACACUGGGCUGAGUUAAUGGAAACUACAACUACAACUUUAACUACAACUUCAACUUCAGCCAGCAUCAUACACCGUGCAUCGCGUUUCACGCCCGAUGCACCUUAAUUGCCAGCUGUUUCCCACUCUUUGAAACACCAUUUCAUACGCACUUAAUUACGUAUACGCCAUGGGGCACACAGCAUUUACGGCUCAUCAUGCUGCAAAUUAUGGGCGAGUUUAAUGGCUUGGUUAGUAUUUCCAGCUUUAAGAUGCUAUUUAAUUGUACAAUUUGUGCUUUAAUACAUGCAUAACUGAAAAA